AUCCUUCGGUUCAUGAAAAUGAUGAUUGGUUGAAUCACAGAACAUCUGUGAGAAGGUGCGACCCAAUCCUUGUUACGCGACGCACCUUCAGACCAUCUGAUC